rnacentral:rRNA from 1 species
UACGUAGGGGGCAAGCGUUGUCCGGAUUUAUUGGGCGUAAAGAGCUCGUAGGCGGCUUGUCGCGUCGACUGUGAAAACCCACGGCUUAACUGUGGGCUUGCAGUCGAUACGGGCAGGCUAGAGUUCGGUAGGGGAGACUGGAAUUCCUGGUGUAGCGGUGAAAUGCGCAGAUAUCAGGAGGAACACCGGUGGCGAAGGCGGGUCUCUGGGCCGAUACUGACGCUGAGGAGCGAAAGCGUGGGGAGCGAACAGG